rnacentral:rRNA from 1 species
GUUAAAAAGCUUCGUAGUUGGAUUUCUGCAUGGAAGGAGCGGUCCACCCAUUGGGCGCGUACGGCUACCUUUGAUGCAUCUUUCUGAGGACGUGUUCUUCACUUAAUUGUGAGGGCGCAGGACUCAGGACAUUUACUUUGAGGAAAUGAGAGUGUUUCAAGCAGGCAAAUGCCUUGAAUACGUUAGCAUGGAAUAAUAGCAUCGGACCAUCGUCCAGCUGUUGGUGUCUGGGCGAAGGUAAAGGUGAAUAGGGAUUGUUGGGGGCAUUCGUAUUUAACUGUCAGAGGUGAAAUUCUUGGAUUUGUUGAAGACGGACCACUGCGAAAGCAUCUGCCAAAGAUGUUCUCAUUGAUCAAGAACGAAAGUUAGGUGAUCGAAGACGAUCAGAUACCGUCCUAGUCUUAACCAUAAACUAUGCCGACUGGAGAUAGGAAGCGUUUAUCUUACGACUCUUUCUGCAUCUUGAGAGAAAUCAAAGUCUUUGGGUUCCGGGGGGAGUAUGGUCGCAAGGCUGAAACUUAAAGGAAUUGACGGAAGGGCACCACCAGGAGUGGAGCCUGCGGCUUAAUUUGACUCAACACGGGGAAACUUACCAGGUCCGGACAUAGGUAGGAUUGACAGACUGAGAGCUCUUUCUUGAUUCUAUGGGUGGUGGUGCAUGGCCGUUCUUAGUUGGUGGAGUGAUUUGUCUGGUUAAUUCCGUUA